AAAUAAUAUCAGGAAGUAUUACUUUACUGAGAGGGUAGUGGAUGCAUGGAAUAGCCUUCCAGCUGAAGUGGUAGAGGUUAACACAGUAAAGGAGUUUAAGCAUGCGUGGGAUAGGCAUAAGGCUAUCCUAACUAUAAGAUAAGGCUAGGGACUAAUGAAAGUAUUUAGAAAAUUGGGCAGACUAGAUGGGCCGAAUGGUUCUUAUCUGCCGUCACA